rnacentral:rRNA from 1 species
GAUGAACGCUGGCGGCGUGCUUAACACAUGCAAGUCGAACGGAAAGGCCCAAGCUUGCUUGGGUACUCGAGUGGCGAACGGGUGAGUAACACGUGGGUGAUCUGCCCUGCACUUCGGGAUAAGCCUGGGAAACUGGGUCUAAUACCGGAUAGGACGAUGGGUUGGAUGCCAUUGUGGAAAGUUUUUUCGGUGUGGGAUGAGCUCGCGGCCUAUCAGCUUGUUGGUGGGGUCAUGGCCUACCAAGGCGUCGACGGGUAGCCGGCCUGAGAGGGUGUACGGCCACAUUGGGCCUGAGAUACGGCCCAGACUCCUCCGGGAGGCAGCAGUGGGGAAUAUUGCACAAUGGGCGCCAGCCUGAUGCAGCGACGCCGCGUGGGGGAUGACGGCCUUCGGGUUGUAAACUCCUUUCGCUAGGGACGAAGCGUUUUUGUGACGGUACCUGGAGAAGAAGCACCGGCUAACUACGUG